rnacentral:misc_RNA from 1 species
GUAGGUUGACUGACAAGA